rnacentral:rRNA from 1 species
AUGCAGCUUGCGGUCCAGCAAAACAGAGGCAGGCUGCCCUGUUUCUGGGGGAAAACAGAGUCGUGGCAAUUCGAACUUGGUUGGUUGUUUUGGGAUGGUUUCCAUGACAUGGUCAAGGAGACAUACGGUGGGUCUCCUCAAAAAGAAGAAGGCAUCAACUUUGCUAAUGCUACGUUUCCCUCCCCCCGGCGACGCCUCCCCCUGGGCGACGCCAGGGGCUCCCAAACCCUAGCACCGCAGGCCUCCCCUCCCUCUCCUUCUGCCGCCGCGGCCGCCGGCGUGGGUCGCGGUGGUGGCGGGCCCGGUGCCGAAGGCACCUGGGCGGGUGGAUGCGGCGAGAUCUCAUCUGAGGCGGCAAGGGCGGCUCCGCUUGUGGGAUCCGAAGGCAGCGGCUGGGGCAGCGAACCCAUGUCGUGUGGCGGUGGCCGAAGUGCCAUAAGCCGGCGGAGCGGCAGCCCUGCGUUGGACGGCGGCGGUGGCAGCGCCCCAUCCGGCGCGGUGGCUAAUCUGUGCGGACAUGGUGACGGCGGCGACUGCGGAUCCAACGCCUCGAUCGGAUCCGCCGCAGGAUGGCCUUCCACCGACCGACGGCGCGUGGAGGGACCGGUGAGGAGAUGUCGGAUCUCCGCCGGAUUACCGACGACGACGUUCAUCUUCGUGUCGAGGCUUCGCUCGGUUUCAGCUAGCCGCGAGAUCGGGACGACAUGCAACCCGGAUACCAAGGAGAGAACGAAUCGCUUAAAAUCGGACGAGUUUACCCCUGAUUUGUUACAGAGAGACGGCGGGUUAGUUACUGCGCGCAUGCAAACGAUUGCCUAUAUUCUCGCGCACGACUCCUCUCCGUUUCCAUCUCUGUGCAUGCGAAUCUAUCUCUCUCCUCAACUCUGCAUGCGCAUAUCUCCUCUGCCUUGCCUUGGGAAGAUGCAAAAGCCAUUGGAAAGAGAGCUCGGAGUUAUAGCGGUUUAUUCAAGCCGGAACAAUAGGGCCUGCAGUCUAUCCGAUGACCGGAGUCCGCGUGACGAUUGGUUGCUCCAUGCCGUUGCACCAAACAUAGACACGGAAACGUUCCAAGAAGGAAGACCUCGCCUCCAAGGGAAAUCGCCAGGCCUCGUUGCGCCUUAUGCACCAAACUGUUGCCGGAGAGGGCCCCCUGCCCUCCCGUUCCGGAUAAUGGAGCCCAAGCCCAUGCUGACAACAAUAACCCUGCUAAGCUACUUCGCCGUAAGUAGCCCGGUUGUUUUCCGUCUUCACAUGAGUAGGAAGUUGAAGGAUUCCCUUGAGACGAUUGAUCAACUGGUUGUGGAGAUGAACAAUUUCCACUUCUUAGAACAUGCAGAGGCACCACGCAUUGUUCAUCCACAAACACACUCUCGAGUUGAUGAAUCAGAGGUUGUCGUUGGUAUGGGGGGAAUUGGUAAGACUACUCUUGCCCAACUUGUGCACAAUGAUGAGAGGGUGAAGCAUAACUUUGAGUUGGCCAUAUGGGUCUGUGUCUCUGAUAUGUUCGUCAUUGAACAAAUUAUUCGAUCUAUAAUACAAGUGGUCACAAUGAACAAGUGUGAAUUGACUGAGAUGGAAGCAUUGCAGAAGAAACUUGGUGAAGUGUUAGGCAAUAAAAGGUACCUCUUAGUACUGGAUGAUGUUUGGAAUGAAGAUACACAAAAGUGGAAUGAUAUGAGAUCUUUGUUAUGCUUACAUGCUGGCCCAGGCACUGUUAUAGUUGUUACAAGCCGCAACGAUCAAGUUGCUUCUAUCAUGGGCACAAUUCCUCCACAUCAAAUAUCACUUCUGGAUGAAGAUCAAUCACAGGAGCUUUUUCAUAUAAACACAUUCAUAAGGCAAGUGGAAAAUCAAGAGGAAUUGAUCUCAAUGGUUAAGAGUGUUGUUCAUGAAUGUAAGGGAUUGCCUCUUGCUAUCAAGAUGAUGGCUGCUUUACUUCGUUCAAAGCAUCAUAGUCAGUGGGUUUCUGUUUUGGAUAGUGAUGUUUGGAAGAAUGGUCUCCUCACAAAUACUGGAAUUGUACCUGCACUACAACUAAGCUAUGAUCACUUGUCAUCAGAAGAAAAAAUAUGUUUUUCCUUCUGUGCUGUUUUACCCAAGGAUAGCCUAAUGGAUAAAGACAUGUUAAUCCAGUUAUGGAUGGCAAAUGACUUUAUUGCAUCGGAAACAAGAGGCCAACAAAUUUUUGAUGUGCUAGUCUCGAGAUGUUUCCUCCAGUUAUGUGCGGAGAUUCAAAAUAAUGACUUCAUCCACCGACCAACUACUUGCAAGAUGCAUGAUCUCAUGCAUGACCUUGCUAACUCCGUCAGCAAAAAUGAUUGUUCCAUUUUGCAAGAAUCUACAUCACAUGAAGAAAUUUUUCAAGGGUCCAUAGAUAGUGGUUUGUUACUGCAGGAGAAAAUUCUAGCUCCCCGAGCCCGCACAAUAUUGGUCCAAAGGGGUUUGGAGUGGACUGAAACUUCUCUGGAUACACGCAAGUCUUUGAGUAUGGCCAUGUCAAAAUUCAUGUCCCUACGAGCAUUGAAGACAUUGUCAAUCAUAACAGACAUGACAAACUUGAAGCAUCUUCGCUACCUAUAUUGUUCUGAUUCUGAUAUAUCUGCACUACCGGAAGCCACUGUCAUGUUGUAUAACUUGCAAACAUUGAAGCUCAUUGGUUGUGUAUCCCUUAAGAAAUUGCCAGAAGGCAUACAAUAUAUGAGCAAUCUUCGGCACGAGUGUUAUUGGUUGGAGAGCAUGCCACGAGGUGGAAUUGAUGAACUGAAAUACUUGAAUCUAGGUGGUGUUCUUUCUUUGACUGAGCUGAGAAAAGUGCAUAGUGCAGAAAAGGCAAGACAAGCCAAUAUAAAUUUUCAAAUAAGUAGUGACACACUACGUAUGUCAUGCUACAAUGGCGGGUGGCUACAGUGCAUCAUGUCCGAUUUUUCCCUGCAGUUCGCUGGGUCAUUGGGCCUGCCAUGUGGCUCAGAUCUUGUUCAAAAAAAGAAAUCUCCCUUUCCCUGCCCAGUCCAAUCGGGAUCGAGAGCUCGAGGCCCCAGCCGCCGUUCCCACGGGCUACCGCCGCCGCGGCCUAGGCCAAGGUGCUCGCCGCCUCCUUGCUGCGCAACGGCGGCUCUGGCCUCGCGCCUGCCACGGCCACGGCCUAGUCCAGGUGGAGGUCGGCGGCCACGGCCGAGGCGCCCUGCUCCUGGAAGAUGGGGUGGGGGGCUAGCGGCGGCUCUGGCCUCUAUAUCACCACACAGAACGGACCUCGCCCCCUCCAUCAGGCAUGGCGACAGUGAAACGGCCGGCGCACGGAGCGGCUGCGACCUCCCGGCAACGACGGCGUUAUCGGACCAAGCAACAGCGGCGGGGUGCAGCACGGGUGCAAGCAGCGGCACGGGCGCACACAACACGAGCGAGAGUAGCGGCGGCGGCGCGCAGCACCGGAGCAAGAAGACUUGUGGCGGCACACAUCACCGGAGCGCAGCGGCACGCCGGCGGGCAGCACGGGCGCAAGCAGCAACGGCGAGCGAGCAAGCAGUAGGGCGACGCGCAGCACAGGUGCAGCCAAGAAGAAACCUUGCUGGUGAGCUCCGCCGCCACCGGGGUACCGACGUGGGCAACAGGGCACGAGCGCGGGAUGGCCGGCGGCACUGUACGACCGAGCUAGGUAUGGCAAGGACACAAUUGCAUUUUUAUUUUCUGAUUGAAGGGUGCAUCUGCAAAACUACCAGGGACUAA